rnacentral:rRNA from 1 species
UGGGGAAUAUUGGACAAUGGGCGAAAGCCUGAUCCAGCCAUGCCGCGUGUGUGAAGAAGGUCUUCGGAUUGUAAAGCACUUUAAGUUGGGAGGAAGGGCAGUAAGCGAAUACCUUGCUGUUUUGACGUUACCGACAGAAUAAGCACCGGCUAACUCUGUGCCAGCAGCCGCGGUAAUACAGAGGGUGCAAGCGUUAAUCGGAAUUACUGGGCGUAAAGCGCGCGUAGGUGGUUCGUUAAGUUGAAUGUGAAAGCCCCGGGCUCAACCUGGGAAAAGCAUCCAAGACUGGCGAGCUACAGUAGGGCAGACGGUGGUGGAAUUUCCUGUGUAGCGGUGAAAUGCGUAGAUAUAGGAAGGAACACCAGUGGCGAAGGCGACCACCUGGGCUCAUACUGACACUGAGGUGCGAAAGCGUGGGGGGCAAACAGG